GGAAGGAUCAUUACCGAGUUGAUUCGAGCUCCGGCUCGACUCUCCCACCCUUUGUGUACCUACCUCUGUUGCUUUGGCGGGCCCGCGGUUCGGCCUCGUGCCGUCCAGCACCCGCCAGAGGACCACAAAACUCCAGUCAGUGAACGUCUCAGUCUGAAAAACAAGUUAAUAAACUAAAACUUUCAACAACGGAUCUCUUGGUUCUGGCAUCGAUGAAGAACGCAGCGAAAUGCGAUAAGUAAUGUGAAUUGCAGAAUUCAGUGAAUCAUCGAAUCUUUGAACGCACAUUGCGCCCCUUGGUAUUCCGGGGGGCAUGCCUGUUCGAGCGUCAUUUCAACCCUCAAGCUCUGCUUGGUAUUGGGCUCCGUCCUCAGGGACGCGCCUCAAAGACCUCGGCGGUGGCGUCUUGCCUCAAGCGUAGUAGAAAACACCUCGCUUUGGAGCGCACGGCGUCGCCCGCCGGACGAACCUUUGAAUUUUUCUCAAGGUUGACCUCGGAUC
rnacentral:rRNA from 1 species